UAGUAUAAACAAAUGCUUAAAAUUAGUGC
rnacentral:sRNA from 1 species